rnacentral:rRNA from 1 species
AGAGUUUGAUCCUGGCUCAGGACGAACGCUGGCGGCGUGCUUAACACAUGCAAGUCGAACGAUGAAGCUUCGGGGUGGAUUAGUGGCGAACGGGUGAGUAACACGUGGGCAAUCUGCCUGCACUCUGGGACAAGCCCUGGAAACGGGGUCUAAUACCGGAUAUGACCUGCUACCGCAUGGUGGUGGGUGGAAAGCUCCGG